GUAGUGGUGGUUCGAUGGUAGAAUUCUUGCUUUCCAUACUGGAGACCCGGGUUCGAUUCCUGGCCAACACA
rnacentral:tRNA from 1 species